GGGGCUAGCGUUGCUCGGAAUCACUGGGCGUAAAGCGCACGUAGGCGGAUCGUUAAGUCAGGGGUGAAAUCCUGGAGCUCAACUCCAGAACUGCCUUUGAUACUGGCGACCUUGAGUUCGGGAGAGGUGAGUGGAACUGCGAGUGUAGAGGUGAAAUUCGUAGAUAUUCGCAAGAACACCAGUGGCGAAGGCGGCUCACUGGCCCGAUACUGACGCUGAGGUGCGAAAGCGUGGGGAGCAAACAGG
rnacentral:rRNA from 1 species